rnacentral:rRNA from 1 species
UCUGAAUCUUGCGAACGGCUCCGCAAACCUGCUGUAUACUAAAGCGUGGACGGUGUCCCCGGAGAGGCCGGCUUCGGUCGGUCGCCGGGGGCGUCUAGAUGGUCACCCGCGGUAAUUCUGAGGCUAAUACAUGCACACACUAACCCCUGCUGGGCGGCCUCGGCUGCCUGGCGGCGGGCGUGUGGUCGAUCAAACCGUGGUCAAUAAAACCGCGAUAGGACACACGCUCAAACCGCUUGUGUGGACCGGGCCUCGGCUCGGUUCCCGGCGGUGCGCGCGAUGUGCUCCAGACCUAUCAACUAGACGGCAGCGCACCGGACAUGCCACGGUGCAACGGUA